GCGCGCCAUUGUGGUGGUUGGUGUUUCCUCGGUUUGUCAUUUUAGUACAGCUUGUGUGUUUUUAAUAAGUAUAGGAACAGUAAUGAAUAUAUUUUAUACGUAUGUUAAACUGCUAAAAACAACAGUGACAAUAAUGCGUGCCGAACCGUUUAUACCGGAUUAACGAGUAGCUUUGAGUCACCACGGCACGUGCGACGCACGCAGCGAGUAGCGGCAGCGAUGGAGGCCGGGGCGCGCGCGCUGGAGGUGCUGCCGCUGCUGCAGGAGCGCGUCGCGGCGCUGACCGGCGGCCGCGACCGCCGCGGCGGGCCCAUCGUGUGCUUCCCCGCCAACUCACGCCGAGACCGCGUCGCCCCAGAUGACUAUAGGCGACUGCUGCACUACUUGAUCAGUAUACCAAGUGAUUCGGUGAGAUCACAUGGAUUUACAAUAUUGAUUGAUAUGAGAGGGUCAGCAUGGGCAGCAAUAAAACCUAUCUUAAAAGUUCUGCAAGAACACUUCCCUUCAUCCGUCCACCAGGCACUGGUAGUUAAACCUGACAAUUUUUGGCAAAAGCAACGCACAACCAUAGGAGCUCAUAAGUACAAGUUUGAGACAACAAUGAUUAGCUUAGAAGCAUUGCCGAAAGUGAUAGAUAGUUCGCAGCUUACCCCCGAUUUAGAUGGUACACUGCAAUAUGACCACGCUCAAUGGAUAGACCUAAGAUUGGCACUGGAAGAGCUAAUGUGGCAAGCUGGCGAGUUGUUAGACAGGCUCGAUGACUUGCAAGAAGACGUCGCGAGGGCAGACUUCGCGGACGAUGUGACGGGCGCGAGGAGGGCCAUCGACGCACACGCUGACAUCAGCAAGCGGCUCGCCAAGGUGCCCGUCGACGAGCUGGAGGCCCAAGGCGAGCGCGUGCUGCAGCGGCUGGAGGCGGCGGAGGCGGCCGGCUCGGAGGCGAGCGGCAGCGGCGCCGAGCCCGCCUUCCACUGCGGCUCGCCCGGCGCCGUACGCGCGCAGCUCUCCGCCGUGCGGUCCGCGCACGCGCACGCGCACAAGCUCUGGCAGCACAAGAAGAUGCAGCUCGACCAAUGCUUCCAGCUGCGCCUCUUCGAACAGGACUGCGAAAAGAUGCUGGAGUGGAUCGUGAACCACCGCACCGCGUUCCUGGCUACGUACGUGGAGAUCGGGCGCUCCUGCGCCGCCGCCAAGCGCCUGCAGGAGGAGCACGCCAGGUUUGCGGCGGCGUGCACGGGCGGCGGGCGGCCGAGCGUGGCGCGCGUGACCACGGCCGCGCGGCGCCUCGCCGACAAGCGCCACUACGCCGAGGCCGAGAUCACUGCGCUCGCGCACCGCCUCGAGCGCGCCUACAAGCAGCUCUCCGCCGGUCUGGAGGAGCGGUCGGCGGUGCUGUCGCUGUCGGUGGUGUUCCACCACAAGGCGGAGGCGUACGUGUCGGCGGUGGGCGGGUGGGGCGCGCAGUGCGGCGCGGCGCUUGCGCUUGCCGCCGGCGCCGCGCCCUGCGCCGACCCGCGCGCGCUCGAGCAGCACGCGCAGCGCCAUCGCCAGCUCUACGAGCACAUGUGCCAGGCCUACACCGAGGUCCAUUCGACAAGUAAAAAACUGUUGUAUCAGUUGGAUCAUCUUGUCCAAGUGUGCCAUCAAACGGAUCCUGCCGAUAUGGGGGAAGGGUCGUCGAGCGGCGCGGGCGGCGGCGGCGACCCGGCGGCGGACUACAGCUCGGGCGCCAACCACGUGCUGGCCGUCAUCCACCAGAUCCUCGGCCACCACCGCGCGCUCGAGGCGCGCUACCACCAGGCGCGUCUCAAGCUACACCAGAGACUCGCCUUGCUUUUGUAUAAAGAAGAUUGCAGGCAGGUGCUCGAUUGGUUGGCGAAUCACGGUGAAGUAUUUUUACAGAAGAACACUGGAAUAGGAAGGAAUCUCCAUAAAGCUAGAGUAUAUCAAAAAUCUCAUGAGCAUUUUGAAAAUGUUGCUCAAAACACGUACACGAACGCGGAGAAGCUGCUGGCGGGCGCGGAGGAGCUGGCGCGGUCGGGCGAGUGCUGCGCGGAGGAGGUGCUAGGCGUGGCGCGCGAGCUGGAGGCGCACGUGGCGGCCUUCGCGGCGCGCGUCGACCGCCGCCGCCGCCGCCUCGACCGCGCCGUCAUGCUCUACACGCACGAGAAGGAGCUGGUGCAGUGGCUGGACACGCUGCGCAGCGGCGGCGGCGUGUGCGCGGCGGACGACACGGCGGAGGCGGCGCGGCGCGCGCUGGAGCAGUGUGCGCAGCACCGCGCGGCCUCGCUCGACGCCUGCGCCGCCACCCUCGCGCAGGGCGACGCGCUGCUGCAGGACCUCAGAUCAUCAGGAGACUCGGAUGCGGCCAGCACUGCCGCCGUGGAGACCACGCUGGAGCGGCUGCGAGGCACGCGCGGAGCCCUCGAGGAGCUGUGGUCUGACCGCGAGAGGAGGCUCGAACUCACUCUGCAGCUCAGGCACUUUGAGAGAGACGCUUUGGAGGUGUCGUCUCGGCUGGAGCUGUGGGGCGACGAGCUGCAGCGCACGGAGCCCCCGCGCGACCCGCAGCAAGCCGAGCAGGCGCUGGCCGCGCACAACGAGAGCGUCGCCAGGAUGCAACAUGCCACCUUCCAGGUGGUGCAACAAGGACAGGAGCUGGCGGCCAACAUCGCGGACGCGGCGGACGUGAUGGCGGGCGGCGCGGAGGGCGCGGACGCGGCGCCGCUGGACGCGCACGCGCGGGUGCAGCUGCUGCUCGAGUUCCUGCACGACCGCCAGCUCGACCUCGAGGAGCUCGCCGAGGAGCGCCGCGCGCGCUUCGAGCAGUGCGUGCAGCUCGGUCAAUUCCAAAAAGACGCGGCUCAGGUAGUGAGUUGGAUCCGCAACGGCGAGGCGAUGUUGGCGGCGUCGUUCUCGAUCCCGGGCACGUUGUCCGAGGCGGAGCAGCUGAAGCGCGAGCACGACCAGUUCCAAGUGGCCGUGGAGAAGACGCACGCCAGCGCCGUGCAGGUCAAGUACCGCGCCGACGCUCUGCGCGCCGCCAACCACUACGACCCGCAUACCAUCCGUGAAAUAUCUGAGGAGGUGACGGAGCGGUGGCAGCGGCUGGUGACGUGCGCGGAGGAGCGGCACAAGCUGGUGACGGCAUCGCUGAACUUCUACAAGACAGCGGAGCAGGUGUGCUCGGUGCUGGAUUCGCUGGAGCGCGAGUACCGCCGCGACGAGGACUGGUGCGGCUCCUCCGCCGCGCCGCCCGAUGACCAGGCGCUGCAGCUCGCUGUCGACAAGGCCGCUCAGGUGGCCGCCCUAAUAGUGAAGCACGGCGAGCAGAAGGAGGCAUUCCUGAAGGCGUGCACGCUGGCGCGGCGCACCGCCGAGACGUUCCUGAAGUACGCGGCGCGCUCGGCGCAGGUGCACGGCCAGACCGCCGCCGCCAGCAAGGCGCACCACGAGCAGACGCGCGCCAUACUCGACACGCUGCUCGCGCAGGAGAACAAGGUCCUGGAGCACUGGACGGUGCGCAAGAAGCGGCUGGAGCAGUGCCAGCAGUUCGCGCUGUUCGAGCGGUCGGCGCGCGCGGCCGUGGAAUGGAUCAAGGAGACGCAGGAGCGCUGCGGCGCGGCGGCGGCGGCAGCGGCGGGCGGCGUGGCGCGCGAGUCCCGCGAGCGCGUGCGCCUGCUGGCGCAGCUCGCCGACGGGCUCGUCGAGAAGGGCCACCCGCACGCCGUGCAGAUCAAGGAGUGGGUCGCCGCCGUAGACGCCAGAUAUGCGGAGUUCAGCGGGUCGAUGGAGGGCGGCGAGAGCGAGCCGGAGAGCGACUCGGGGGUGGCGCCGUCGCUUGCGUCGUCACAGUCGGCCGAGCACGACCCGCGCGCCGAGCCGCCGCCCGCCGCACUCGGCGACGACAAGCGGCGCAGUGCCAGGCGCAAAGAGUUCAUAAUGGCGGAGCUGCUGCAGACGGAGCGCGCGUACGUGAAGGACCUGGAGACGUGCAUCACGUGCUACCUGCGCGAGAUGCGCACCGACCCCGCCGCCGUGCCGCACGCGCUACAGGGGAAGGAAGAAAUAAUCUUCGGCAACAUCGAGGAGAUCCACCGGUUCCACGAGCGCGUGUUCUUACGCGAGCUAGACAAGUACGAGACGAUGCCGGAGGACGUGGGGCACUGCUUCGUGACGUGGGCGCGCGAGUUCGACAUGUACGUCGCCUACUGCCGCAACAAGCCCGACAGUAACGCCGCCGUCGUGCAGCACGCUGGCGACUACUUCGACAGGGUGCAGCGUAAGAAGAAGCUGGAGCACCCGCUGGCCGCGUACCUCAUCAAGCCGGUGCAGCGCAUCACCAAGUACCAGCUGCUGCUCAAGGACCUGCAGGCGUGCUGCGCCGAGGGGCAGGGCGAGAUCAAGGACGGCCUCGAAGUUAUGCUAUCAGUGCCAAAGAAGGCGAACGACGCCAUGCACCUGUCUCUGCUGGAGGGGUGCGACGUGCCCACCGACAGCCUGGGCGAGGUGGUGCUGCAGGAUUCCUUUCACGUGUGGGACCUGCGCCAGAUCAUCAAGAAAGGCCGGGAGCGCCGCGUCUUCCUAUUCGACCUGCACCUGCUGCUCGCCAAAGAAGUGAAGGACUCGCACGGAAAAGCGAAAUACAUUUACAAGACCAAGUUCAUGACGUCGGAGCUGGGCGUGACGGAGCACAUCGAGGGCGACGAGUGCAAGUUCUCGGUGUGGACGGGCCGCGAGCCCAUGGCCAGCGACUGCCGCAUCGUGCUCAAGGCGCCCUCGCUCGAAGUCAAGCAGACCUGGGUGCGGAGGCUCAGAGAAGUUAUACAGGAAACGUACUUCAGCGGUGCUCUGCAGCAGCCGCCUCGAAGCCCGGCGCGCGUGCGUCCCACCAGCUCGCAGCGCUCCAGCAGGGAUUUGGAUGACACAAUACUCGAUGAAACGACAGAGAAUCUCGACAGAAACUCGCUGGCGUCUUUCGGCAGUGGGAACACCACCGAUUCCGAUAAGGCCGGUCCAGAGAUGACGUGGGUGGUGGCGGAGCACGGCGCGGGCGGCGCGGGCGAGGUGUCCGUGUCCAAGGGGCAGCAGGUGGAGGUGCUGGAGCCGUGGGCGGCGCGCGCCGACUGGUGGCUGGUGCGCGUGCCCGGCGAGCCGCCGCAGGAGGGCGCCGUGCCCGCGCACGUGCUCAAGCUGCAGCCGCACCACCUGCCGCAGCAGAAGACGUCGCCGUCCCGCCGCCCGCUUAGCCAGCCCUGCGACGAGACCCUAGAAGCGUCCAAUUCGGACCCCGGUGGGAGCGUGAGCGCCGCCAGCCCCGUCAAACAAAGGAAGGCCUUCAGCGGGAAAAGAUGGCUGGGGCUCCGCAAACAGUCACAGGGGAAGACCGAGAAGGGUCCGAGUGGAGCGCAGUCACCCGCCACUACAGACAAACCUGUGCCGCUCAAGAAAACAUUAUCCGACAAGAAACUCAAGCUCCCGUACGGCGGCGUGGGCGAUAACGGGCGCGCAGACGAGCACGAGGUGGGCAAGGCGGCGCCCGGCGCGCUCGACGAGGCCGAGGAUGAGGCGGCCGACGUCGAGCUGCCGCCACCCAUGAAGCCCAUUCAGAACCCGCAAGCGGUGCUGCAGCAGGCGCCGGCGCCGGCAGCGGUGACGUCAGCGCCGGCAGCGCGCGAACAACAUGGCGUCGCCUCGUCCUCCGGGCGGGCGGGCGACGCGGACGACUCGGACAGCCCGGCCACGCCGGGGCCCGACUCCUGCGAGGCGACGCUCAAGAAGCGCGAGUACGUGCUGCGCGAGCUCGUCGACACCGAGGAGAUCUACGUCUCCGACCUGCGCCUCGUCUGCGAGGGCUACAUGCGCCACGUCCAGGACCCGAACGCCGAGCCGGGCCUGCCCGAGGGGCUGCGGGACCGCAGGCACCGCAUGAUCUUCGGAAACAUCGAGGCCAUUUAUGAGUGGCACCGAGAUAAGUUUGUCAGGGAGCUGCACCUGUGCGUGGCGGAGCCGGAGCUGCUGGGCCCGCUGUUCCGGCGCUUCCUGGAGAAGCGCAUGUUCCUGUACGAGGCGUACUGCCGCAACAAGCCCGUGUCCGAGUACAUCGUGUCGGAGCACGACGCCUACUUCCAGGAGCUGCGCGUCAAGCUCGGCCAGAAGCUGCAGCUGGGAGACCUGCUGAUCAAGCCGAUCCAGCGCAUCCAGAAGUACCACCUGCUGGUGAAGAAGAUCCUCUCGUACUCGGAGCACGCGAACGCGCCGCCGCACGUGCUGGCGUCCCUGCGCGACGCCGUCGAGUGCACCGACAUCAUCCCCAAGAACGCCAACAACAUGAUGGACGUCGGCCGCCUGCAAGGAUUCGCGGGUAACAUCACUGCCCAGGGCAAGCUGCUGAUCCAGGAGCUGAUGAGCGUGGCGGACGUGUCGGGCGGCUCCGACAAGGGCAAGGAGCUGCAGGUGUUCCUCUUCGAGCAGUGCGUCAUCUUCAGCGAGCCCGUCGGCAAGAAGAGCCAGUACAGCAGUCCCGCAUACAACUACAAAGCGCACAUUCAGGUGAACAAGAUGGAGUUGGAGGAGGUGGAGAGUCAGGGCGGGUUCAUCGUGCGCACGGACGGGCCCAGCAAGCCCAAGCUGGCGUUCCUGUGCCGGCCGUCGGAGGGCACGCGCGCGCACUGGCUGGCUACACUCACCAGCAUCCUCACGCUGCAGAAGAACUUCGGCGCCGCGCUCGAGAACCCCGGCGCCUACCUGCGCGAGCAGCUGACGCGCGAGCCGCCGCGCGACCCCGCCGCUGUAGGGGAUGGUUGGUGCGGCCUCCGCAAGACUGAGAGCGUCCCGCCCUCGGUGGGCGGGCGGCUGGCGCCGGAGCUGCGAGCGCGCACGCAGCGGCCGCACGCCAAGGCCAACACCAUCAACCUGCCGACCAGCUCGGCGCGCACCGACGACCGCAAGAAGGGGGGCAGCGCCGCCGUCAGCCCCACCUCCCCCCCGCAGCCCAAUGUAUGAUAAACACGAGAAUGCAUUUCUAAUAUAGACUGUGAUAGCGGGCCGUUUGACUGACGCGCAGCUCUUGUGCUAAGUGAUAUGGAAUUACCGCCCUUGACUUUAAGUUAUUCAUUGUAAAUAGUAGAUGUAACCAAUGUAACCGGACGAUGCCGACGUGCGGGGCGCGGGUGAGCAUGCAUGCGACGCUUGUGGCGCGGGCUCCCCGUCGGCAGCGCCACCUCACUGUCUCCUACGACAGGGCUUGUCCAAGCGGCCGUGGGGCAUCAAGCUGCGGCGAGGCGCCAGCGCCGGCGCCGCCGCGCCCAGCGCCUCCAGCGAGCCCAGCGACGGCGUGGUCACCGAGCUGCGCGCGCCCGAGCUGUGCGAGCCGGCGGCCGACGUCACCGUCGCACCCGGCGCCACCGCCACGCUGGCGUGCCGCGCCGGCGCCACUCGCGCCACCGCCUCGUGGCGCAAGACAGCGCCGGAGACGCGCGCGCUGCGCCACGGCGGCCGCUUCGCCAUCACCAUGAGUCCGGACGGGCUCACCACUCUGACGAUACACGCGUGCCGUGCGUCCGACGCCGGCGUCUACUGCUGCCUGGUCAGCAACGAGCUGGGCGGCGUGCAGAGCUCGGCGCGGCUGACAGUGGGCGCGGGCGGCGCGCCGGGCGUGCCCGCCGUACGCGCGCACCCGGGCGGCGGCCUCGUGGUGCAGUGGGACGAGCCGGCGCCCGCGCACUUGGAGUACUGCCGCGUGGGCGAGGGCGAGUGGAGGCGCGCUACAGAGACGCCCGCCGCCGCCAACACACUGGCGCUGGAGGAGCUGCCCGCGGGACAGUAUAGCUUCCGGCUGAUCUGCAGUCGCAGCGGCGCGCCGGGGCCCGCGUCCGGGCCGGCGGCGUGCGGCGGCGGCGGCGCCUGGCAGCGCGAGCAGUUCGCGCGCCGGUACAGCGUGGAGGAGGAGAUCGGCCGCGGCCGCACCGCCCGCGUGCUUGCCGCCAGAGACACGGGCACUGGACAGCGAGUCGCAUUGAAGCAGGUGGUGGCGGGGCGCGGCGCGGACGCACUGCGCGAGUACCGGCUGCUGUCGCGCAGCGCGCACGGCGCGGUGGCGCGCGCGCUGGCGCUGUUCGCGGAGGUGCCGCGCGCCGGCGCGCACACGCUGGUGCUGGAGCUGGUGGGCGGCGGCGCGCUGCUGGACUGGGCGGCGGCGCACGCGCACCUCUACACGCAGCACCAAGUCGCGCUGCACACGCGCCAGCUGCUGUCCGCGCUCGACUGGCUGCACUCCAUCAACGUCGCGCAUCUCGACGUCAGGCCCGAAAACAUUCUGGUGGAGUUAGGCGGAGCUGUUCCCCAGCUGAAGCUGGUGGACCUGGGCUCGGCGGUGGAGACGGGCGAGGGCGGCGCAGGCACGGCGGCGCGCGAGGUGCUCCCGCCUGCGCCGGCGCAGCUCGAGUUCGCACCGCCCGAGUGCGUGCUGGGCCGGCCGCCCGCCACUGCCUGGGACGCCUGGGCCGCCGGGGUCUUCCUAUACGUAUUCCUCACAGGGCUGUCGCCGUUCCUGGACGAGUCGAUCGAGGAGACGACGGCGAACAUCAUCAAGUGCGACUACUGCUUCCCCCCGGAGCACUGGGCGGGCGUGGCGGAGCGCGCGCAGGCGCUCAUCCGCGGCCUGCUCGAGCCCGCGCCGCAGCGCCGCCUCACACCCAAGGACGCGCUCGCAGAUCCCUGGUUCGACGAGGCGCCGGCGACGGCACUGUCGGCGACGCAGCUGAAGACGUUCCUGGACCGGCGGCGGCCGGCGGGGCACGGCAACGCGCUGCACUCGCUGCGUUCGCCCAGCGACACCUGACGCGCCGCCGACUGCCUCGCACACUACUGCUGAAUACCGCGGCGUGCCUCGCCACUGCGCUACUGACGCCUCGCUUCCCGAACUGAUAUUGUCAUUCGAGGCGCUAGCUGAACGUUGCCCGACAAUGUUAGUUAGAACCUUCUUGUAGCCGACAUUGUAUGUAUUUAAGGAACAAAGGCGCUGGCCAAAUGUAGAUCUUAUUCAUUAUUCACUCAAUAGCUGUAGUUACUGUAAUUGUUCUAUAGUCAAUGUGCCCACCUAUUCAGUUUGGUAUUUUAGUUACUUGAAAUUUGUUUGUCGACUUGAAGCAUGUCAUGUUUUAAAUUACGACCGGUCGGUCGCCCAGUCAGCGCGACCGAUGUGGACCGAGUUAACCAAUGGAGAGCUGUUGGCGAUUUGUAAACUUUUAAUAUUAUUCCUAAAGUGGCCGAUUAAAGAAAAGUGUCUGUGAUUUAUGCUAAAAUGAAUUUUUGCUGCUUAUUCCUAAUCUUAUCGUAAUACUUGUUAAAUAAAUGAAAUAAAUUGAUUAUACACUAAUGAAAUGUAUAUAGAAUUAAGUUUUAGUGCGUCGUUCUUCGUCUUAAUUUGUGACCAAAAUGCAAACUUUUAAUUCGUGUAUGUUUGAUGUAUCGCGACGCAUUAUUUUAUAUUCGUGAGAUACCUAUAUAAUGUUUUAGUAUAUGAUAGUUUUAACGAUGGAAUGUACGCUACACUGCCGAGCUCUGCCCGGGCGACCACGCCUUCCGAAUGUUACUCCUAACGUUAGAUAUUGUAAGUCAAGUAUUACUUUGGACAAUGUAUGUUUAUAUGCAACAAUCAAAUAUUAUAAAGGAAACACUAAGACAAUGUA